CACGUUCAUCCCUAUUGGGACGGAAGUAGGCAUAGUGCCGAAGGAACGCAUU
rnacentral:ncRNA from 10 species